rnacentral:rRNA from 1 species
UACGGAGGGGGCUAGCGUUGUUCGGAAUUACUGGGCGUGAAGCGCGCGUAGGCGGACCUGCAAGUCGGGGGUGAAAGCCCGAGGCUCAACCUCGGAACUGCCUUCGAUACUGCGGGUCUCGAGUCCGGGAGAGGUGAGUGGAAUUUACGGUGUAGCAGUGAAAUGCGUAGAUAUCGUAAGGAAGACCAGUGGCGAAGGCGAAUCUCUGGACAGUUACUGACACUGAGGCACGAAGGCCAGGGGAGCAAACGGG